UUUCUCUCCAGGCAGCAGUGGAUGGUGCAGGGGAAAGAGGUGGGAAGGAGGUCCUGGGAGGGACACUGGAUGUCUUACCCCAAGCUGGGCCUUGCAGUACCUGUGGCUGGCUGUGCUAGUUGAGCCGGAAUCGACCACGGAAAUUUGACACCUCCGGGCUUGGAAGCAGCUCUCUCCUCCUUCCCCCCUGCUUAUAAACCUCAGCCCUGAGGCUCCAGCUCACUCUACCCCAUCUCCUUGCCGGGUCAGCCCUGACAAAGGUCAGCUAGCCCCUUGAGGACAUCAGCUUUGGCCUCAGGGUCCUAAUGGCAGCAGAACCACUGACAGAGCUAGAGGAGUCCAUUGAGACCGUGGUCACCACCUUCUUCACCUUUGCAAGGCAGGAGGGCCGGAAGGAUAGCCUUAGCGUCAACGAGUUCAAAGAGCUGGUUACCCAGCAGUUGCCCCAUCUGCUCAAGGAUGUGGGCUCUCUUGAUGAGAAGAUGAAGAGCUUGGAUGUGAAUCAGGACUCGGAGCUCAAGUUCAAUGAGUACUGGAGAUUGAUUGGGGAGCUGGCCAAGGAAAUCAGGAAGAAGAAAGACCUGAAGAUCAGGAAGAAGUAAAGCCGCCUGGCUGAGAUGGGGUGGGCAGGGCAGAGCUGGUCAGGGCCGAGCAGAACCGCACUCUUCCCAAAUAAAGCUUCCUCCUUGAAACACAAAUGUUUCUUACUU
rnacentral:sRNA from 1 species